ACGUAGGGGGCAAGCGUUGUCCGGAAUCACUGGGCGUAAAGAGCACGUAGGCGGUCUAUUAAGUUAGAUGUGAAAGUUUGCAGCUUAACUGUAAAAGUGCAUUUAAUACUGGCAGACUUGAGUAUCUGAGAGGUAAGUGGAAUUCCUAGUGUAGCGGUGAAAUGCGUAGAUAUUAGGAAGAACACCGGUGGCGAAGGCGGCUUACUGGGCUAGUACUGACGCUCAGGUGCGAAAGCGUGGGGAGCAAACAG
rnacentral:rRNA from 1 species